UGGAACGAGUUAUCGUCUCCGGCCCAGGAGACCAAAACUACGGUGUCUCCCCUGCUCCUUCUGCCCACGGGCGGGAGGCUGAAGCAGGAAAAGUUAACACCAGGAUCAACAUCGGCCGGGCAAUCAAGGAGGAGGGACCAUCGUUUGUAGGAACCAACGUGAUCCUCCUCCACCCCGAUCUCUACAGUCUUCAUCACAUCCAGUGCACAAGGUUCCUUCUACUGAGCUCAUCAGAAGUCCCGCUCCACAUCCCAUCAUCCAGAUCUUCAGCCAACUCUCUGUUUGGACUCACAGUGGGGGAAUAUUCCUUUACUAACCACGGCACCACUACCCCCCCAAAUAUGACCACGUCAGCAUGGACUGUAAUCGCCAAAGACUCUCCACAAUUCUAACUUUAUUGUGCACCAUGUAAUAAAUGUAUAUGUUUACUGUAAA